rnacentral:rRNA from 1 species
GAGUUUGAUCCUGGCUCAGAACGAACGCUGGCGGCAUGCCUAACACAUGCAAGUCGAACGAGAUCUUCGGAUCUAGUGGCGCACGGGUGCGUAACGCGUGGGAAUCUGCCCUUGGGUUCGGAAUAACAGUGAGAAAUUACUGCUAAUACCGGAUGAUGUCUUCGGACCAAAGAUUUAUCGCCCAGGGAUGAGCCCGCGUAGGAUUAGCUAGUUGGUGGGGUAAUGGCCUACCAAGGCGACGAUCCUUAGCUGGUCUGAGAGGAUGAUCAGCCACACUGGGACUGAGACACGGCCCAGACUCCUACGGGAGGCAGCAGUGGGGAAUAUUGGACAAUGGGGGCAACCCUGAUCCAGCAAUGCCGCGUGAGUGAUGAAGGCCUUAGGGUUGUAAAGCUCUUUUGGCGGGGACGAUGAUGACGGUACCCGCAGAAUAAGCCCCGGCUAACUUCGUGCCAGCCGCCGCAGUAAC